AGUGAACGCUGGCGGCGUGCCUAAUACAUGCAAGUCGAACGGAGAUUAAGUAGCUUGCUAUUUAAUCUUAGUGGCGCACGGGUGAGUAAUAUAUAGCUAACUUGCCCAUUACUAAGGGACAACAGUUGGAAACGACUGCUAAUACCUUAUACUCCGUAUCUAUAUAAGUAGAUACGGGAAAGUUUUUCGGUAAUGGAUAGGGCUAUAUCGUAUCAGCUAGUUGGUAAGGUAAUGGCUUACCAAGGCUAUGACGCGUAACUGGUCUGAGAGGAUGAUCAGUCACACUGGAACUGAGACACGGUCCAGACUCCUACGGUAGGCAGCAGUAGGGAAUAUUGCUCAAUGGGGGAAACCCUGAAGCAGCAACGCCGCGUGGAGGAUGACACUUUUCGGAGCGUAAACUCCUUUUCUUGGGAAAGAAUUAUGAC
rnacentral:rRNA from 1 species